rnacentral:rRNA from 1 species
AUCAACGCUGGCGGCGCGCCUAAACCACAUGCAAGUCCGAGCGAGGAAAGUGGGGCAAACCCAUGAGUACAGCGGCGGUACGGGUGAGUAACACGUGGGAUGAUCUACCUUCUAGUGGGGAAUAACCCUGGAAACCGGGGCUAAUACCGCAUAAGCACGAGAGUGGAAAGCAGCAAUGCGCUGGAAGAGGAGUCCGCGGCCCGAUUAGCUAGUUGGCAGGGUAAAAAGCCUACCAAGGCAAGAUCGGUAGCCGGCCUGAGAGGGCACACGGCCACACUGGCACUGAAACACGGGCCAGACUCCUACGGGAGGCAGCAGUGGGGGAAUCUUGCACAAUGGGGGAAAACCCUGAUUGCAGCGACGCCGCGUGAGCGAUGAAGCCCUCGGGGUGUAAAGCUCUUUCGGGCAGGGAAGAUGAUGACGGUACCUGCAGAAGCAGCUGCGGCUAACUACGUGCCAGCAGCCGCGGGGUAAUACGUAGGCAGCGAGCGUUGUUCGGAGUUACUGGGGCGUAAAGGGUGUGGUAGGCCGGUUGUUUAAGUUUGGUGUGAAAUCUCCCGGCUCAACUGGGAGGGUGCGCCGGAAUCCUGAAUGACUCGAGUGCGGGAGAGGAGAGUGGGAAUAUCUGGUGUAGCGGUGGAAUGCGUAGAAGAUCAGAUGGAACACCGAUGGCGAAGGCAAGCAACUCUGGCCGAGUUACUGACGCUGAGGCGCGAAAGCUGGGGGGAGCAAACAGGAUUAGAUUACCCUGGUAGUCCUAGCCCUAAAACGAUGAUUGCUUGGUGUAGCAGGUACCCAAUCCUGCUGUGCCGCAAGCUAACGCGUUAAGCAAUCCGCCCUGGGGAGUACGGUCGCAAGGGCUGGAACUCAAAGGAAUUGACGGGGGCCCGCAACAAGCGGUGGAGCAUGUGGUUCAAUUCGACGCAACGCGAAGAACCUUCCUGGGCUCGAAGCGCAGUGACUGAGGUAGAAAAUAUCUCUUUCUCGCAAGACUGCUGCGUAGGGUGCUGCAUGGCUGUCGUCAGCUCGUGUCGUGAGAUGUUGGUUAAGUCCCGCAACGAGCGCAACCUUAUUGCCAGUUUGCCAUCAUUUAGUUGGGCACUCUGGCGAAACUGCCCCGGAUAACGGGGAGGAAGGUGGGGAUGACGUCCAAGUCCUCAUGGCCUUUAUGUCCCAGGGGCUACACACGUGCUACAAUGGUCGGUACAAACCGUCGCAAACCCGUGAGGGGGAGCUAAUCGGAAAAAGCCGACCUCAGUUCGGAUUGUAGUCUGCAAACUCGACUACAUGAAGCUGGAAAUCGCUAGUAAUCGCAGAUCAGAACGCCUGCGGUGAAUACGUUCCCGGGCCUUGUACACACCGCCCGUCACAUCACGAAAGUUGGGCUGUACUAGAAGCAGGUGCGCUAACCCGCAAGGGGAGCAGCCUUCCAAGGGUAUAACUCAUGAUUGGGGUG